GUAUGUGUAUAUAUUCAAAAGUGUAUUUCUUAUCCUGGCUUAUAAAUUAGCCGCUUACUGACUGUGACUUCUAUCAGCUUGUAAUGGUCACAUGACAUAAUGUAUGUGAUAAUGCUUUAUGGAAUCUACAGUGCUAUACCAGAUGACUUCAUUAUUAUAGAUACCUACAUAAAGCACACAAUUUUAUUACCAAGAAUGAACAAUUCUGCAAGGCAUUCAUCAUAGUGUCUGAAUAUCUUUAUGUCUUUAUGUGGCCAGCAAAUGCAAUUUAAAAUAGAGAUAGGUAGGUAGAUAGAUAAAUAGCUGGAUAGAUGGAUAGAUAGAUAGAGACAGGAAAUAUAUAUGUAGUUUAUAUUAUAUGUAUGUAUUUCAAACAGAACUUUUACAUCCUUUCUGUCAUCCCUAAUUCAUGAGCUUUCUUUUCCCAGUAAUUCUGAAAAGGCAUCUCUAAUACCAUUAGAAAUAAGCUUUGUUGCCUCCUCUUUAUCCCCCAUCCCCUGACUUGGCAUCAAAAACUGUAGCUAUUCUUGCUAAGAAUUUCCCGUUAAUAUCCUGCAAUUUUGGAACAAGAUACUAGUCUUAUGCAAAAAACUGGAAUGAGAGAGUUUCUUCUGCAUAUAUGAUGGUGUUUCAAAUAGGAUGGUUCUCAUUUCUCAAAAUGUAUUCAAUAUAAUAUUCCAGGAAACCACAUCUGUUUUGUAGGGGACCUCUUGAAUGGUGUUAAAAGAUAAACUGAGGCCUAUUAAACAUUUUAAGAGUCUAUUUGAGGAGUUCCUGUUGUGGCACAAUGUUGGAUUUGCUUCUGUUGCGCCAUGAUGGGAAUUCCCGACAUUAUUUUAAUUCUUGCCUAAGUCUAGAAUAAGGCCCUGCUAUAUCCUUUGGUUUUGUUGAGGUGGUCGGCUUUGAUCCAAUGGGCCACGGCAGCACACUUGUGCCUGCAACCUAACCCUCCUGUUCUGACUCUUCAAGCAGUGACAGUGUGCUUGUGGCUGCAUGGGGCUCUGUGCCCCUCCCCUCCUGUGUUAUCUCUGCAAGCAGAAGCAGUGCCCUUGUGCCUGGGUGGUGGGCUCUGCACCCCUCCCCCUCUCAUGCUCCCCAGAGAGCAACAGCAGCAGCAGCUGUGGCUGGAGGAGGGCCAGUGCCACUUUGGGGAUUGUAAGGUGGUGGUAGUGAGCCAAGGGGGUCCCAUGGAGGAGAGGAGGUCCCAGAAUGUUCUUGGGUUUCUUCCUCAUUUCCCUUUUGUUCCCAUCCUCUGAAGGGAAAUAAGACCACUGGUCCCCGCUGCUAACAGAGAGCAUAGUAAGUUUCCUUCUGAGACCCCCGUGACUUGUCCUGGACAAACUGAAUGAGCAGCUGACAGACCCAAUCCUCCUCUCAUCUGAACUUUGGCCAAAAGAUGGAUGGGGCAAGAAUAGGUGUCUGUGUCCAGAUAAAAAUAUUUAAUCAUUCUUCCUUUCUUUUUGUCCUUUGUCCAUGGAUUGUCACCCCAGUACUUUCAUAUCAAUCCCAGAGGACUGUCUGGAGGAAUUUGGUCCCUUCCCCCUUUCGAUCCUCCAAGUGGAGGUACAGGUCUUAAAGACUUACUCCCCAUUUCCCGGGUUCAUGUUUUGAUCCUCUGAUUUCACCUGAAAUCGGUCUCACCGGAGACCACCAGUCUCAAUUGAGACCUUUUGAGGGUUGUGCUCUGAUUUUAUGAUUUCACCUGAAAUCACUGGUCUCACCCAAAACUGCUGGUCUCACCUGAGACCCUUUGAGGCUUACCAUCCCCCAUCCUUGACCACCAGGGAUGUACUCAAUCACACUCAUGAUCUUCCCUACCUUGGUCUGUUAAUGGAAGUUGCCUGGUCAUCACGUGAUUUCCCAUGUUUUCAAGAACCCUCCACAGGUUUGAAGUUCACAGGUGCAAACUUCUCAAUUUAGGGUCAUGGCAACAGGCAACACGUCUCCCCUCUUUGAGAAUCCAUGCUCCAGUGGACCCCAAAUCCCAGAUGAGCCCCCAAAUCUGUUGAAGACAUGGCUUGGAUCAUCAGUGUCAGAAAAUGAGACACAUGGACAUGGGGAGAUCUUGAUAAGGCUCUUUACUUCUGCAGAAGGUCAUGGGUACUCAAAAAGUGUGUGCAAAGAAGACCCUCCCUAUUUAUCCCUAAUGCAGGUGAUGUACCUGUCCCCUUCCCAUUGGUCAGGUCGGGGCAUACAUUCUUCUCUGUUGGCUAAUUUGAAACAAAUUGUUACUGGGAGAAGAAGGAAAGGGGAGGUGGGGUCACAGGAAGGUGUUUCAGCCAAAAUUGAAACAAAAUGGAGCAACCAAGAUUUUCUUUGAUAGAAAAGACAUUAUGUUACUUUCCACGUGGGUAUGGCCACAGAGAGAGAAAGAGGUCAGAUAAAGACUGUUGUGGACACACAGUGAUUACUGAACCUCCAAAUAUACCACCACAAACCAAUUCCGUUCCUUUUUCCUCAUGAGCAAAAACUAAGGCCAAGAGGUCUAAUGAGUAAAGAAGCCUGGUGUAAAAUAAUACGGAAUGGUGAGCCCUGUGGUAAACUGAAAACACAGAUGCUUUCUAAAGGGGGUUCUUUAUUCCACUCCAGCCAGUUUUUGGCAAGUGGGAAAAGACUCAGUGCCAUUAGAUUUCCUAGUCUGUCAGGAGAAGCCUUAAAAAAAGUAUUUCAUUUAAAUGUCAAAUUUCUUAAUUUUAAAUUAGUGACAACUAAUACCAAUUAUUUAAAAAAAAAAUCUGUAUUGGACUGAGCAGAGGAACUAUCCUAGUAGCCUAUUUCUGAUUAUAAUCCAACAGUUUAUCUUUCUUUCAAAUACUAUGUUAUGCAUAUGUUCAGAUUAUUUCAUUCAUAUUACAAAUGUUCAUUAUGUUUUGAUACAUUCCAAACCCUGGGUCAAGCUCUGUAUAAGGUACAAAGAUGAAUAUAAGCAUAUUUGAUAUCCCUGAACUUAAUACAGGGGUCUUAAUGCAUCAUAGACAAAAAAGGUCAUGCAGAUGUUUACGUGGAGGAAGAACUUAAUGAUAUGAAAAAAAAGCAAUGUCCUGUGUCUUCUAAUGGUUGGCUGAAUUUCUGUCACAUUAACCAACAUGACCUGGCAGGUAGCAGGGUUAUUCUUCCUCCAAAGUCCGCAAGCGUCCUCUCUUUGUCUCAUCUAAAGUCUGCUUUAGAGUGUUCCUGAUUUUGUGGUGCAGCUGGGGAGGGAUGGGUGACCCUGGGGAUGUGAAAGACUCUAUGGAGAGAGACUUGACAGCACCCCUCCGAAAAAAGAAUUAUCUUCACUUCCCAUUCUUUCCUCUAACUGUUCCUUAAUGUGGUGGCCUCACAGUACUUGCAGAUUCCCCUCCAGCCAGAAUUCUCACAAUGAUAGUAGUCAUACAGGAAUCAUUCUACAAAUAUCCAAUUUGUUCCUAUUUUAAAACUGGCAGAGUUUGUUUAAAUUCAACUCUGUAAUGCCUGCCCUACACAUUAUAGUGAAAACGAGUAUUUGUGAAUGGGAUUUCUUCAUACAGAAUGAAUAUAGGGUGUGUGUGUGUGUGUGUGUGUGUGUGUGUGUGUGUGUGUGUGUGUGCAUGUAUGUUUCAUGAAUGUGAAGAAAUUCACAUUUUUCACCUUGUUUUCCUGAGCCUAUAAACCUGGGCUCGCACAAGGCCCCUACAGACAAUCUUCAAAUGUCCAUAUGGCCAAAGAUUGACUUAAUACCCUAUAUCAUCUCUUCUUCUCCAUUCCUUCUUAUUAGAACAAACUGCCUCUCACCUUACAGAGUCCACCAUAGUGCCAGACCUAGGAGUAGGCAGCAGGAAAACUUCCAGCUGAAAUUAGAAGGAUUGGGGGAGGCAAACCAAAGAGAAACAAGACUAAGGAAAUACCUCACCCAGGGAUUUUAGAACCUGGUGGGAAAUUAGCAUUGGAGAUGUAAAUGAGGUUGGGGAAAUUAAGAGGAUUAACUGGCUUACAGGGAUUUAUAUAAAAAUAAAGAGAAGAUCACUGAAACCCUUUGAGAUCUCCUCCCCCUCAGCAGAAUUAAAGCUGGUUUUGUUCUGGUUAUGUGUGUGUGUGUGUGUACGUGUGCGCGUGCAGGCGUCUUUGUGUUUGUGUGUAUGGGGGUAUAUAUCUCUUGCUUUGCUGCUGCUUCUGAUUUGUAAGCAUUGGACUAAUAAUUACAAAUUGUUCUUGUAGUCUCUACUUGCUUUUCUUCCUCCAUGUGCCACCUAUGACCAAAGGCUGACAGCUUAAUAAGCUUUCCUGCCUAAUUGUUAUGUUGUCAUUUGAAUUGUUAUUAAUGGUGAUGGGCUGGAAUCCAAGGAGAAGGGGAAUUUAUACCCAUCCCAAUCUUUUUAGAUUUUUCUAAUAAUCUGAAACACUGACCAUAUUUAAAAUAAUGACUUUUCUGUAUAGUUCUUUUCUGGUGGUGGCCAGACAUGUUUUCUAGAGCUGGCUCUUCUUCAGUCAUGGACCAAAGGGUGAAGUUGAAGAAUAACUGAGCUUGAAAUAUAUUGUCUAAAAAAUUUUAAACCAUCAAAAAGCAGGAAAAUGCAUGUAAGCAACAACCUAGACAAACUUUAGCAGUUUCAGUGCUAAACCAGGAAAGUCUUUGGUACACCAGGAUGAAGCAGUCACUCUGUGUCUAAUUCCCAAGAACAUUAUGGAAUGAAAGCCCAGUGAGUCUGUUGAGAUGCAUCCCAGCUAAAUCCUCUCCCUUAUCCAUCCAUAACAUCAUGACUGUUCACACUGUGACACCUGCUUCAAUGCGCUAGAGUAUAUACCACUUCUCUGCUCUGUGCUUAACCUUACCUGAGAUCCUAGUUGAUGUAGUUCAUGUUUCCCCUCCAGACUUGAGAUUUAUUUACUCCUCCCAUGUUCUGUUUUUUUCAGAUCAAUUUCACUAUAAAUAACCUCUGAGAAUGACCCCAGAAUAUUCUUUUUAUCUAAUCUGCCCCAUGAGGACCUAAGCCAGCAUAACAAUCCACCUAGAUCUUGCUUCAUCCAUUGAGUAGCCAUAGGUUGACUGGGUAAUCAUCAGAAUGCAGGUUUUUUGUUUUUGUGUUUUUGUCUCUUUUAGGGCCACUGCUGUGGCAUAAGGCAGGUUCCAGGCUAGGGGUCAAAUCAGAGCUGUAGCUGCAGGCCUUUACCAUGGCCACAGCGAUGCAGGAUCUGAGCUGCCACUGUGACCUAUACCACAGCUCAUGGCAAUGCCAGAUCCUUAACCCACUGAGUGAGGCUAGAGAUGGAACCUGCAUCUUCAUGGAUGUUAGUUAGGUUCAUUGCUGUUGAGCCAAGAAGGGAACUCCAGAAUCCAGCUUUAAUUGAGAAUAGGGACCCACAAUUAGUGUAUCAAAAAUAGGUCCUUCUAUUUUUUAAAUGUGCUGGUUUUAUUUUGUGGUAUCAAUUAAGCACGUACAUAUUUUUUUCUAAUUCAAGGUAUAGGGAAUUGGUUUUAUAAAAUGCCAAUGUUUAUGGAAAAUGGUGCAAACCUGUGUGUUGAUUGUGACUGAGUGGUGAUAAUUUAAUGGUCUACUUUGAUGAACAGAAUGGAAUUAUCUUUAUAAAUACUUAAUUAAAAUGAGUAAAACAAAUGCAUGAUGAGUUUGUUAUAAACCAGAUAUGAAAAUUUAUUGCAAUACAUUAUUACAUGUUUUUCUUCUUUUUCAAUUACUAAGUGAUGAGUGACAUAUGUAAUAACUAUUAAAAGAACUGUAUUUUCUCCAUGAGCUAGAUAUUUUCGACUCUUUGAUACUUGUACUAUAAAAUGGCCUUGGAUUUUCAGACCUAUUAAUAAGCUAUUGUUGGAAACUAUGAUAACCUGUUUCAAGGAUUCUAUUAGUAGCCAAAAAUAUUGUAAAUCUUAUGACACAAUUUUAUCAUGACAAAAAUGUUUUUAAAAAUCAACUUAAGAAAACUGCAUUUGAGAGUUUCAAUCAAACCUUUCUCUCUUAGAGUUUACAAGGAACUUUCAGUCUGAAACAGAAAAAACUUCAGUCUGAAACAAAAUUUUCAAAUUUCUUGUAGGGAUCACAUAGUUAGGUGAGUGUUAAUUGCCAAAAA
rnacentral:lncRNA from 1 species